rnacentral:lncRNA from 1 species
UUUUUGUCACUUCCCAAUUUUAAGAACAAAACAGGAAUUCUGUUCAACAAAAUACCAAGGAAGAGCUGUGGUCGAGAUGAUGGUGGUCCUCAAAUAGUUCAUCUGCUCCUCCACUUAUGUCAUCAUUAUACAGAAUAGAGAGGCCUGAGGAGAGGGAGAGACACAGAAGAAUGGUCGGUGGAACAGCCAGAACACACAUCGCAUUUACC